GUCUCCGUGGCGCAAUUGGUCUAGCGCGUCUGACUGUUAUCCCGCGGUUUCAUCAGGAGGUCGGAAGUUCGAGCCUUCCCGGGGACG
rfam:Tncinocarpus reesii 1704 scaffold_1 genomic scaffold, whole genome shotgun sequence.